rnacentral:tRNA from 1 species
GCCGAGGUAGCUCAGUUGGUUGGAGCGCCAGACUCAUAAUCUGGAGGUCGUGUGUUCAAGUCACGCCCUCGGCA